rnacentral:tRNA from 1 species
GGGUUGACGUCGGACAGGAUGAGUUUUGCGCCUUCUCCAGCAAAGCGCUCGGCAGCGCGACGGCCGAAGCCGCCGGUCGCGCCGGUGAUCAGCACG